rnacentral:rRNA from 1 species
CCUACGGGGAGCAGCAGUGAGGAAUAUUGGUCAAUGGGCGCGAGCCUGAACCAGCCAAGUAGCGUGAAGGAUGACUGCCCUACGGGUUGUAAACUUCUUUUAUAAGGGAAUAAAGUGAGGCACGUGUGCCUGUUUGUAUGUACUUUAUGAAUAAGGAUCGGCUAACUACGCGCCAGCAGCACCGGUAAUACGGAGGAUCCGAGCGUUAUCCGGAUUUAUUGGGUUUAAAGGGAGCGUAGAUGGGUUGUUAAGUCAGUUGUGAAAGUUUCCGGCUCAACCGUAGAAUUGCAAGUGAGACUGGCAGUCUUGAGUACAGAUGAGGUAGGCGGAAUUCGUGGUGUAGCGGUGAAAUGCUUAGAUAUCACGAAGAACUCCGAUUGCGAAGGCAGCUUACUAAACUGCCACUGACGUUGAUGCUCGAAAGUGUGGGUAUCAAACAGGAUUAGAUACCCCUGUAGUC